rnacentral:snRNA from 1 species
UGGCUUUGGCAGGACAUUACACCAAAAUUGGAAUAACAAAGAUUAGCAUGGUCCCUGCGGGAAGGUGACAUGCAAAUUUGUGAAGCAUUCCAUAUUUUU